rnacentral:rRNA from 1 species
AUGUUACUGAAACUGUUGGUACCUCAUAUGGUUUUGUGGGGGCUUAGUCUUGUUCUAAAAAAUACCAGUACCCACAUCAAACUUUUUUCAAAUGUUCUGGGGUAUAUAAUAAAUGUGUUGUGUUUUAGAACUGUAUUGCAGCCAUACUUGAAAAGCCAUUUCUACAUGUCAAUACAACCUGCAUUUCAGGCUUACUUGAAAAAGCACCACACAUACAUAUCAAUAUCAGGGCCUCAAUUUGGAAACUGGUACAUACGGUUCAAAUUCUUUGUCCAAUUCUGGUCUCUGUCUUCUAGAAAAGCACAAGGGUUCGCAAUGUAUCAAUCAGCUUACUUUCAGUGA